CGAUCACGUUCAGAGUUUGAUCCUGGCUCAGGAUGAACGCUAGCUACAGGCUUAACGCAUGCAAGUCGAGGGGCAGCAUGGUCUUAGCUUGCUAAGACUGAUGGCGACCGGCGCACGGGUGAGUAACACGUAUCCAACCUGCCGUCUACUCUUGGACAGCCUUCUGAAAGGAAGAUUAAUACAAGAUGGCAUCAUGAGUCCGCAUGUUCACAUGAUUAAAGGUAUUCCGGUAGACGAUGGGGAUGCGUUCCAUUAGAUAGUAGGCGGGGUAACGGCCCACCUAGUCUUCGAUGGAUAGGGGUUCUGAGAGGAAGGUCCCCCACAUUGGAACUGAGACACGGUCCAA
rnacentral:rRNA from 1 species